UGGGGAAUUUUGGACAAUGGGGGAAACCCUGAUCCAGCCAUCCCGCGUGUGCGAUGAAGGCCUUCGGGUUGUAAAGCACUUUUGGCAGGAAAGAAACGUCGCGGGUUAAUACCCCGCGAAACUGACGGUACCUGCAGAAUAAGCACCGGCUAACUACGUGCCAGCAGCCGCGGUAAUACGUAGGGUGCAAGCGUUAAUCGGAAUUACUGGGCGUAAAGCGUGCGCAGGCGGUUCGGAAAGAAAGAUGUGAAAUCCCAGAGCUUAACUUUGGAACUGCAUUUUUAACUACCGGGCUAGAGUGUGUCAGAGGGAGGUGGAAUUCCGCGUGUAGCAGUGAAAUGCGUAGAUAUGCGGAGGAACACCGAUGGCGAAGGCAGCCUCCUGGGAUAACACUGACGCUCAUGCACGAAAGCGUGGGGAGCAAACAGGAUUAGAUACCCUGGUAGUCCACGCCCUAAACGAUGUCAACUAGCUGUUGGGGGCCUUCGGGCCUUGGUAGCGCAGCUAACGCGUGAAGUUGACCGCCUGGGGAGUACGGUCGCAAGAUUAAAACUCAAAGGAAUUGACGGGGGUCAUAACUGUUUUCCUG
rnacentral:rRNA from 1 species